GAUUUUCGUGGUGUAGUUGGUUAUCACGUCAGUCUAACACACUGAAGCCUCCAGUUCGAUCCUGGACGAAAUCA
rnacentral:tRNA from 1 species